rnacentral:rRNA from 1 species
UUGGAUGACGCCCACGGUCGGUAUUAGCUUAGGUUGGCGGGUAAAGGCCCACCAAGGCGACGAUCCGUAGCUGGUCUGAGAGGAUGAUCAGCCACACUGGAACUGAGACACGGUCCAGACUCCUACGGGAGGCAGCAGUAGGGAAUAUUGGACAAUGGGCGCAAGCCUGAUCCAGCCAUGCCGCGUGAGUGAAGAAGGCCCUCGGGUUGUAAAGCUCUUUUGUCCGGAAAGAAAAGCGCCGGGUUAAUACCCUGGUGUCCUGACGGUACCGGAAGAAUAAGCACCGGCUAACUUCGUG